UAUCUCUGUAGAGUCUGCAUAUCAAUAAGCGGAGGAAAAGAAACUAACUAGGAUUCCCUUAGUAACGGCGAGUGAAGCGGGAAGAGCUCAAAUUUGAAAUCUUCAAGGUUCUACCUUGACGAAUUGUAGUUUAAAGAAGUGUUUUCUGUUGGAGUUUUGGUAAAAGUUCUUUGGAAUAGGACAUCAUAGAGGGUGAGAAUCCCGUAUUUGACCAUUUCUUCCAGCUGUGUGAUACACUUUCAAAGAGUCGGAUUGUUUGGGAAUGCAGUCCAAAAUGGGUGGUAAAUUUCAUCUAAAGCUAAAUAUUGGCGAGAGACCGAUAGCGAACAAGUACCGUGAGGGAAAGAUGAAAAGAACUUUGAAAAGAGAGUUAAACAGUACGUGAAAUUGUCAAAAGGGAAGCGUUUGACACCAGUGUUGUUUUCUCGAAAAUCAAUUAAAAAUGGCCGGAUUUUGUGUUGUAUUGACUUUAUCAGCUUUCUGCACUUUUUUCUUGUCUUUUUUAAUGCACUUUUCGUUUAACAAGUCAACGUCAAUUUCUUUUGUUGUAAAAGAGUCAUUGGAAGGUGGCUUUCACUUCGGUGAAAGUGUUUAUAGCCUUUGACUUCUGCAAUCGGAGAGAUUGAGGUCUGCAGCGUAGAUCCUUCGGGGUUAGAUACAUUUGUGCUAAGUUAUAGCUUUUCAUAGACAACUUGUUGACUAUGAUCAGUCAUGUAGCUUACUCGCUUAUGCUAUUUUACCUACGCUUAGGAUGUUGAGUAGCGACAUACGCAC
rnacentral:rRNA from 1 species